CUUAUUCUUUCGGUCUUUUGGCUAAGAUCAAGUGUAAUAUUUGUUUUACCAGUUGAAUAUCUGGUAUAUGAACAAAUAUGUUCACUUUGACAUUAAAUUCAUUUAUUAUGGUUGUUUUUAUGUGGAGGGUCUAUUAAGACUCUUAAGUGUCGCUUAGUUAACCAAU
rnacentral:snRNA from 1 species